UACGUAGGGUGCGAGCGUUAAUCGGAAUUACUGGGCGUAAAGCGUGCGCAGGCGGUUUUGGAAGGCAGAUGUGAAAUCCCCGGGCUCAACCUGGGAACUGCGUUUGAAACUACAAGGCUAGAGUAUGGCAGAGGGGGGUAGAAUUCCACGUGUAGCAGUGAAAUGCGUAGAGAUGUGGAGGAAUACCAAUGGCGAAGGCAGCCCCCUGGGUCAAUACUGACGCUCAUGCACGAAAGCGUGGGGAGCAAACAGG
rnacentral:rRNA from 1 species